rnacentral:rRNA from 1 species
ACUCCAUGAAGCUGGAUUCGCUAGUAAUCGCGCAUCAGCCAUGGCGCGGUGAAUACGUUCCCGGGCCUUGUACACACCGCCCGUCAAGCCAUGGGAGUCGGGAGUGCCUGAAGUGCGUGACCGCAAGGAGCGUCCUAAGGCAAUACCGGUGACUGGGGCUAAGUCGUAACAAGGUACC